GACGAACGCUGGCGGCGUGCUUAACACAUGCAAGUCGAACGGAAAGGCCCCCUUGUGGGGUACUCGAGUGGCGAACGGGUGAGUAACACGUGAGUAACCUACCCUUGACUUUGGGAUAACUUCAGGAAACUGGGGCUAAUACCGGAUAGGAGCUCCUGCUGCAUGGUGGGGGUUGGAAAGUUUCGGCGGUUGGGGAUGGACUCGCGGCUUAUCAGCUUGUUGGUGGGGUAGUGGCUCACCAAGGCUUUGACGGGUAGCCGGCCUGAGAGGGUGACCGGCCACAUUGGGACUGAGAUACGGCCCAGACUCCUACGGGAGGCAGCAGUGGGGAAUAUUGCACAAUGGGCGGAAGCCUGAUGCAGCAACGCCGCGUGCGGGAUGACGGCCUUCGGGUUGUAAACCGCUUUCGCCUGUGACGAAGCGUGAGGGACGGUAAUGGGUAAAGAAGCACCGGCUAACUACGU
rnacentral:rRNA from 1 species